CAGGGAAUCUUCCGCAAUGGACGAAAGUCUGACGGAGCAACGCCGCGUGAACGAUGAAGGCCUUCGGGUCGUAAAGUUCUGUUGUUAGGGAAGAACAAGUACCAGAGUAACUGCUGGUACCUUGACGGUACCUAACCAGAAAGCCACGGCUAACUACGUGCCAGCAGCCGCGGUAAUACGUAGGUGGCAAGCGUUGUCCGGAAUUAUUGGGCGUAAAGCGCGCGCAGGUGGUUUCUUAAGUCUGAUGUGAAAGCCCACGGCUCAACCGUGGAGGGUCAUUGGAAACUGGGGAACUUGAGUGCAGAAGAGGAAAGUGGAAUUCCAAGUGUAGCGGUGAAAUGCGUAGAGAUUUGGAGGAACACCAGUGGCGAAGGCGACUUUCUGGUCUGUAACUGACACUGAGGCGCGAAAGCGUGGGGGGCGAACAGGAUUAGAUACCCUGGUAGUCCACGCCGUAAACGAUGAGUGCUAAGUGUUAGAGGGUUUCCGCCUUUAGUGCUGCAGCAAACG
rnacentral:rRNA from 1 species